rnacentral:rRNA from 1 species
AGGGCACCACCAGGAGUGGAGCCUGCGGCUUAAUUUGACUCAACACGGGAAAACUCACCCGGCCCGGACACUGGAAGGAUCGACAGAUUGAGAGCUCUUUCUUGAUUCAGUGGGUGGUGGUGCAUGGCCGUUCUUAGUUGGUGGAGUGAUUUGUCUGGUUAAUUCCGAUAACGAACGAGACUCUAGCCUACUAAAUAGAUCGUCGGCUUACAAACGCCGGCGAGACUUCUUAGAGGGACAGGCGGUGAUUCAACCGCACGAAACAGAGCAAUAACAGGUCUGUGAUGCCCUUAGAUGUCCGGGGCCGCACGCGCGCUACACUGAAGUGAUCAGCGUGCUUUUUCAACCUACUCUGUCAAGAGUGGGGAACCCAAUGAACCUUCUUCGUGAUUGGGAUAGGGGAUUGUAAUUGUUCCCCUUGAACGAGGAAUUCCCAGUAAGCGCGAGUCAUAAGCUCGCGUUGAUUACGUCCCUGCCCUUUGUACACACCGCCCGUCGCUACUACCGAUUGAAUGUUUU